ACUUCGGUUUUAUUCAAAACCAUAUGGUGGAAAAAUUAAAUUAUUU
rfam:Lucilia cuprina strain LS Scaffold196, whole genome shotgun sequence.